UGAGACCGUAGGCGAAGACUUGUAUCCCGGUGUUCCCGAGAGAAGCGGCGGCGAGUUCUAGGUUUCCUAGGUGGCCGGAGAAGAUUUGAGUAGACAUGGACAUGAGAUAGUUUAUCAUGUAGACGAUGACAGCAGGCGCAGCAAGCUUGAAGAGAAGUUUGGAUUCAAUCAUCGUGGCUUUACGCAGACGGGCAAACAGGGGAGUUUCAACGUCGGAUAGGACUCUCUCUAACUCGCUGUUGUUCGACUCCGUCGCCGGAGAAAGCUGAGGCUGGAGAAGUGGUUGGUAUGCGCCAUCGUUUUGAGACGAGUCCAUGAGACUUUGCUCUGCUUAAGUCUAGUGAAGGUCUUUUUGUAGAGGGUGGCAAACUAGCAAUUGACUUACGGCUUAUAUGCACAGUGCACACUCGUGAUUCUCGCCUUGAGUUUUUUUUUUUUUUUUUUUUUUUUGAGAUAGAUAGAACUCUAGUGCUUGUGGUAAGCCCACGUCAAUUAUUUUCAUUUCAUAUCAUUUUCUUAUUUCGGUUUUUGUUUUGUUUUCAAAGGACAUUCAAUUAAGAUCAUCAUUAACAGUUAGAAAUCUACUAGGUUCUUAACUAGAUAGUUUCAUAUUUAAAAAGCAUUGAGAAAGUGAAAAUUAGGGCUGGGCAAAAAACCCGGAUCCGAAGAAUCGAACCGAACCCAAUCCGAAAAAGUAGUACCAAACCCGAACCGAAAUUGAUUAAAUAUCUGAACGGGUUCAAAUUUUGGUAUCUAGAGAACCGAAACCAAAUCCGACCCGAACCGAAGUAUUUCGGGUAUCCGAAUGUAACCGAAAUAGAUUUAUAUACCUAAAUAUAUUACUUAUUUUUAGAUUUAAUAUAUAUUAAAAACAUCCAAAAUAUAUAAGAUACUUUAAAGUUGUCUAAAAUACUUGAAAUAUACAUAAAUAGUCAAAAGUAAUGUCUAAAAUAGAUAAAAUAUAUUCAAAACACCAAAAUACUUGAAAUAUUUUAACAUAUAUUAUACAAAUUUAUAUGUAAUACAUUAUUUUGAUUUAUAGAUUUUGAAAAAUUUUAAGCAUAUAAUGAAUAUUAAAAAUAAUUUAAAUGAGUUAUCCGAACCCGAACCGAACCCGCAAAGAUCCGAACCGAACCCGAACAAUUAAUUUAGCAAACGAAAUCAACGAAUCAAAUAUUUAUUUUGAAAGCAAAUAUUUUUGAUGAAAGACUUACCAAAUGGAGAGAGAAUCAAGAGCAAGUUCUGGGUUCUCGAGAAGUCCGGCAAGAAGAACCAAGAUCUGAAAAUACCAAGUCUCAAGGCAAAGCAUCACGGCAGAGGCGGCUGAGAGUUUGAAGAAACUCGGUAGCCCCGAGAACGCUUGCACACUGAACCCUCUCCACGUCUCACGACACCGAUCACUCGUCACGAUAUAAACAAACUGAGCCACCACUAUAACCCACCACGAGAGGCUGAGCACGAGCGACGCUCCAAGAAGCCCCAUCCCAAGCUUGUAAACAGCGAGCCAGCUAAGGAGAAGAUGAACGAAGAGAGUGGCUGUUGCAAUGUAAGCACUUGGAGCAACAAUGCUUUGAGCCUGUAGGAACUUCUGGAUCGGGAAGUUCAUUGCGUAGGCAAAGAUUUGAGGGAUGAGACCGUAGACGAAGAGAGACGCGGCGGAAGCUAUCUCCGGCGAUUCCCCGAGGAAAAGUAGAAAAGGUUUGGAGAAGACGUAGAUAAAGGUGAGGAAGACGCCGGUGAGAGUGAGUAAUACGGCGGAUCUCUGGAGAUAAAUGCCGAGCAUAUCGUACUUCCUACCUCCAAACGCUUGUCCACAAAGCGUUUCCACCGCACUCCCCAUUCCUAGCUACAUAUUUUUAGGCUCCAAAGUUAUUACAAAACAGUUUAAAGUAUGUUGUAUAAUAUUCUUGUAACAAUUCUCGUAAUUUGUAAUAUAUAAUCAGUGUUAAAAAAAAUUCCAAUCCAUAACCACAUUAAAAGAUCAACAGAUGAUUUAGUUACCAUGAGACCGUAGGCGAAGACUUGUAUCCCGGUGUUCCCGAGAGAAGCGGCGGCGAGUUCUAGGUUUCCUAGGUGGCCGGAGAAGAUUUGAGUAGACAUGGACAUGAGAUAGUUUAUCAUGUAGACGAUGACAGCAGGCGCAGCAAGCUUGAAGAGAAGUUUGGAUUCAAUCAUCGUGGCUUUACGCAGACGGGCAAACAGGGGAGUUUCAACGUCGGAUAGGACUCUCUCUAACUCGCUGUUGUUCGACUCCGUCGCCGGAGAAAGCUGAGGCUGGAGAAGUGGUUGGUAUGCGCCAUCGUUUUGAGACGAGUCCAUGAGACUUUGCUCUGCUUAAGUCUAGUGAAGGUCUUUUUGUAGAGGGUGGCAAACUAGCAAUUGACUUACGGCUUAUAUGCACAGUGCACACUCGUGAUUCUCGCCUUGAGUUUUUUUUUUUUUUUUUUUUUUUUGAGAUAGAUAGAACUCUAGUGCUUGUGGUAAGCCCACGUCAAUUAUUUUCAUUUCAUAUCAUUUUCUUAUUUCGGUUUUUGUUUUGUUUUCAAAGGACAUUCAAUUAAGAUCAUCAUUAACAGUUAGAAAUCUACUAGGUUCUUAACUAGAUAGUUUCAUAUUUAAAAAGCAUUGAGAAAGUGAAAAUUAGGGCUGGGCAAAAAACCCGGAUCCGAAGAAUCGAACCGAACCCAAUCCGAAAAAGUAGUACCAAACCCGAACCGAAAUUGAUUAAAUAUCUGAACGGGUUCAAAUUUUGGUAUCUAGAGAACCGAAACCAAAUCCGACCCGAACCGAAGUAUUUCGGGUAUCCGAAUGUAACCGAAAUAGAUUUAUAUACCUAAAUAUAUUACUUAUUUUUAGAUUUAAUAUAUAUUAAAAACAUCCAAAAUAUAUAAGAUACUUUAAAGUUGUCUAAAAUACUUGAAAUAUACAUAAAUAGUCAAAAGUAAUGUCUAAAAUAGAUAAAAUAUAUUCAAAACACCAAAAUACUUGAAAUAUUUUAACAUAUAUUAUACAAAUUUAUAUGUAAUACAUUAUUUUGAUUUAUAGAUUUUGAAAAAUUUUAAGCAUAUAAUGAAUAUUAAAAAUAAUUUAAAUGAGUUAUCCGAACCCGAACCGAACCCGCAAAGAUCCGAACCGAACCCGAACCGAAAUUUAGAAAUACCCGAAUGGAACUGAAAUCUUUAAAACCCGAAAACCCGAAACCCGAUUAGAUCCGAACCGAACCCGAACGCCCAUCCCGAGUGAAAAUGUUCAGGCAGCUUUCAAAAUUUGUAAAAUAUUUGUACCAAAUUACUUGACUACCUUUUCCUUUUUUCUUGUUCUAUUUUUUAUUUAUGAAAAACUCAUAAAUUUAUUAUCAAUGCUCUAUAUAUGUUCAAAAAAAAUAUUCUCUGAAUUUUCUUUAAUUAAUGGAAAAAUAAGAUCUAUAAUCAGAUUUAAUUAUGCUGGAAAUAAUUAGUAAAGGUUUUUAUAAAUUAUAUAAAUGAAUAGUUAAUCAUAUCAAUAUAACUAAUAGUUUCUCAUUUUUUAAAUAAUAUUUAAUAAUAAUAAUAAUAAUAUUAUUAUUAUUAUUAUUAUUAUUAUUAUUAUUAUUAUUAUUAUUAUUAUUAUUAUUAUUAUUAUUCGUACCAAUAAAUAUCUUCUAAGAUUUCAACAACUUCUGGAAAUAGUUCAAAAUCACUCUUUAUAUCUAACUGGAUAUAAAAACGAUAAGAAAUAUUAAACGGAUGAAAAUGUUGGUCCAGCAAAAGAAAGAAGAAGGCAUUUGUUGAUAUGAUUCCGAAUCGAUUAUGAUGCUGCCUUCAACCUUCAUACGAAUAAAGUAAACAGCUGGGUGGGAUUAUUAGAGAUCAUAUGGGGAAUGCAUAAAAAUUGGGAUGCGGCAGUUUUGGAACAUGCUUCAUCGAGCGUAGAGGCGGAAAGGAAAACAUUAAUUUGGGCAAUGCAAUUGUGUUGUUAUUUAACGGUGAUUCCCAAGAUUUAGUUCGUACUAUGCAAGGAUUUUCUGUCUGACUAUAUUUCUAAUAUGUAUCUGCUUAAUGAUAUAAAUUAAACUAUCGGCAAAACAAGCGUUGGAUCUCUUCUUCCUCUAUUGUUAGACGCAAUGUUUUUAAACCCGACCUGGACACCGAACCGGACGACUUACCGGAUUGUUGGGUUACUGGAUCGACUACGGAUGAACUGCGUGUUAAUAAAUGAAUUAAUUUUAUUAUAUAAUAAUAUAUCAGCUAUGUAAAUAAAAAUAUGAAAACUAGAGUUUAAUAUUUUCUAAAUGUUUUUUGAAACAUAAAAUAAUAGUUUGGAUAUGUAUAUAUUUAUGUUUAAAAGAGUUUAGAAAAUACUUAACUAUAGUUUUUAUAUUUUUAUUUUCAUUUGACAUACAAAAUAUCAAAAUAUAGUUUAUAAUAUUUAUAAUAUUCUCUAACAAGGUAAGAGUUAUGAAAUCUAAAAAAAACCAAGACAUAAAAUUUAUAAAUAUUUAAAUGUAUGUGAAUAAUAAAUUUAACUUCAAAUACAAAAUAAACUAAAGUAAAAAGUUAUUGUAAUAAAUUAUCAAUAACAGAAAUAAACUAACAUCAAAUCACAUCAACUAAUUUUGGUUCUCUCUACCAUCGCUCACUUUAGUUUCUUCAGGUGGCAUAGUGAAAUAUUCAUCAAAAUCUAAAAAUCAAAAAUAUAAAAUUGAAAAGAGAAAAUCUAACUUUUUUUUUUGUCAGCACCUAACUUAUUAAUUGGAAAUUUAGAAUAUAAAACAUAAUCUAAAAACAUAAUUAAAAACUAAAAAAAGAAGUAAAAGUUUUUAUUGGUUCAACCGGUAUCGGGUUCUGAUUUUUACUGGACUUUUGCAGGUUUCUACGGUUUUCUAAAUAUUGGGUUUCUGGAUUUUUUUUGGGUCACCGGAUUUACUGGUUCAACCGCGGAUUUUGGUCGGGUUCAAAACACUGAUUAGACUCAGACGUUUUUCUGCUGCACAUGUUUUAGCUUUAUAAGUCAUCUAAAUUGAGUGUACUAUACAUAUUGUAUUUUUUCCUCCUAGGUGGCUACCAUCAAGUUUGUAUUCAUAUACAGUAGUCAACCUUCAAGUUAAAUAAUAACUUUUUCGAAAAAAUGAUUCCGAUUAAAUUGUUUCUUAGUGGUUUUAUGCUCAACAUGCAAGAACAUAGCUUGCUUUCAUUAUUUUGUAGCCAAUUGAUAGCGGACGAGUGAUUUCGUGUUGUUUAAGAUUUGGUUUGUCAUUCUAGACAAACAAACAAAUUCUCUCAAAAAUCAAACAUCUAUCACCGUUUCACACGUUUUAUAAAGUUUUACUCGGAUUUUUUCUCUCUUAAAAACAGAAUGGCUUACUUGAAAUUAAUCAAUAUUUUACAUGGAAUUUUGAAAAGGCACAUAGAGCUUAUGCCCCUCUCUUAGUGCGGUUUCGCUACCGUUAGAAACAUUUUUGUUGGAGAUAGAUUUCACAUUCACUUUAAAACCGGUUUAAGACACAGUUUAAUGAUCCAAAGACUCAUUAAAUAGAUAAUAAACCCAAGAAAAUACUCGGAGUUCAAAAAGAGUUAAUGUUGACUUGAUCCCGUCAACCCAAAACAUAAAAAAAAUUGUGGCAUUAAAGUAGGCAUUAAUGAUGCUGGAUUAUGCCGGAGAUCACGUCGCUGUUAUAAUCUCCCUCCAAACAUCUAUAAAAGGAGGAGAAAGAAGAAAUGGAGGGGGAUCAAGACUUCAUACAUCAAAACUAUAUUUUUUGCACUUAAAUUCACUUGUAUUUGCAUGCUCUCUAUUCAUUAUCAUUGUAUCAAGUUUAAGUAUCAAUACGAACCACUUUUAUAGCCUAAUUCUAAUUUCUGAGUGGAUCUCGUGGUCUAUCAAUUACGUUAUAAAAAAAAUCUCUCGCAGUUCAUUCUUAGCUGUCAUUUAUUGACAUAACUAAGUUUGAUUUCUAUGUUAGGUCUAAAAGUAUGUCAUUUAUUGGCGGUAAGUUUCCUACUAGUUCAAUCCAGUUCAAUCCACAGAAUUGAUAGCCAUCAAAACGGUAUGAUAGCCAUCAAAACGGUAUAUAUGUUUUAACCGUUGCUGUAAAUAAUUAACAAACAAACCUAGCAUUUUGUUAGAACCUCAUUCUGCGGAUCUAUUCGUUAAGGUUGCUCUUAGCUUGUGUGAGAAAGGAACUAACAUAGUGAUUCUAGAACUACCACGUACCUAUAUAUUUAAGCAUGGUUUCUACAAUUACUACGUACAUAAAUAUUUCAAGUCUUGUUUUCACAACUACCACGUACAUAAACAUAUUACUUCCAUAAAUCAACCACAAAAAUUGAUAGAAGUGGGGACAGCCUUGAUUUCAUGGAAAAUUUUAAUAUUAACCAACAUUGUGGGUGGGUGCAAUUUAUGAUAUCAGAACGAACCAACAUUAUAUCUGAGGAGUACCAACUUGGAACCUAACCCUUGACAUACUGUAGCUUUGUUCUUCGUCGCCAAGAGGCUAGCUAGUGAAAGAUUCUUCUUGCUGGGAGUGUUUGUACGAGAUAUAUAGAAAAGUAUAGUUCUAUUAAUGAACAUAUAAACCAACGCGAAUUGGGCUAGUUGUACUUGAGGGACCUUCGGGCUUGAUACGGUUCCAGCUUCGAUUCCCGUUAGCCACUGGAGAAUUAACAUUUCGACAUCGUCAGACAUGGAAGCGACACGUGGGGCAAUAACGUAGGCUGCAAAACACGUGGUUAGUCUGGACCCACCUUAUGGUGGAGGUCAUGAUAUCCAUGUAUAAUCCAAAAAUAUAUAUAUUAAUUACGUAUAAGCAAAAUAUCCAAAUGUUUGUGAACUUGUGUUAUUGAGAUUUUUUUUCCAUUUGCCUAACUGAGCCAUUUUGGACGGAAAUAUCUUUAAAUUAUUUGUAGGUCAUGUUUAAAUAAAUAUUUAACAUGUUCAAAGAUUUUUCUUAAUAAAAUCUAGACUACUAUUUUAUGCAUAUUUUAAAUUUCAAAAGAAAAAGAGUUUUUUUUUUCAAAUAAAUUUCAAAAGAAAAAAGAGUUUUUCAAAUUGAAGUCUGAUUUACUUGUACUAGCAUAUGCUAAAAACAGUGAUGUCACUGAUGUCUAGACCAAAAUCCAUAUACAUCUUUAUAACGGUUGUAUUCAUUGUUAACAUCAUUAGGCUCUUGAAACAAAAAGUGUUGUGUGACAUGGUCCCUCAGUUUCAUAAAUAUGUGCUGUAUGUUUUUAGAAGAAAAAUAUUAUUUAAAAAAAAUAUAUUUUUGUAUUUCAAUAAUUUUUUAUCAACUAUUAAUGAUUUAGCCGAAAAGGUGAUGAAGAUAUUAAAAUAUAAAGAGUUCUGAUUUUCGGAAGAAGGCACACAUGCAGAGUAAACCACAUAAUUUAGAGCAGUCUGAUCUCUAAAGUGUGCUCUUAGAUCAAUGACAAAAUAGUGAAGAAAAAGCUAAACUUUAUAUUUCUUGGUAUGUAUUAGAUACGUGUGUGUUAUAUUGAUAGAUGGAGAUUGAUGUGGAGUUAACAGAUAUGUUAGUAUUGGAUACUUUUAGCAGGCAUGGUUUUGACGUAAGAUUGUCUAAACACCUCUUGCAAAUGGCUUGAGGACAUAUACCUUUUUUUUUUUUGAAACACUUUUUUUUUUUUUUUUGAAACACGAGGACAUAUACCAAACUUUGCUAUUCUUGUGUGCAGACAUCUUUUUUUUUUUUUUUUUGAAACACGAGGACAUAUACCAAACUUUGCUAUUCUUGUGUGCAGAGCCGGACCUCACAUAUGCAAGGCUAGAAGAAAAUAAAAUACUUUUAACCCUGUAAACAAUUUAUUUUUAAAAAAUAGUGCUACGAUACUAAACUUGACUCAAACUCAGAACCCUACACACUUAACUAACUAAGUUUUACCAUCUGAACUAACUGAUCUUCAACAAAAUUUGCUCCUAUAUUAUUUUAACCAUACCGCCCGCGAGCUAAUGCUUGAUCAGUUUCUAUUAAGUACCGGCCCUGCUUGUGUGUGUUGAUAAACUGUGUUUUUACCAACUUAUAUUUUUUUUCUCAAGUUAAACUAUGUGUUUUUGAAUAUCUUGCUUUUUAUCAAGUUUUUUAAAGUUUAGAUCUAUUUAAAGGAAAAAAGCCAUUUAAAAAGUAAACAAACAUAUGGAAGUACAAGAUUGUGCAGAGGUAUCAAAAGUCUGAUAUUGAAUUAAAAAGAUUUUUUUUUUUUUGAAUUUUAAGGAAUUCAGGGUUUCCCCAAAGGCUUUCUAGGCCCAAAGGACUAAUCCCCCUCCUGGCGCUGACGAGCUCCAUGUAAUAAUGCCCCAGUGGCCCGAGAGAAUUGUUUGCAGCGUGAGGCUUCGAACCCGGGCGUAUUGGCACCAUGGGCACCUCAACCACGAAAUUCUAACCACUCGCCCAACUCAGUCGGGUUGAAUUAAAAAGAUUUCACUGAUGGAUUGAGAUUAAUCUAACGGUACGCAUAUAUAGUUAUGGCUAUUUUCUUUAAAAACUAUUCCGUCUGAUGCGUAGAAAAAUAUGCACAAAACAAUUUCAAAAUAAUAAGUUUGUAGUCUUUGGAUAUAUAUGUGUUAGACAGUUGUAUGUUUUUUUCCGGAUAAAAUGUAAAGUUUAUAUCAAAUUUUCAAUUGUGACAGAUAUUACAUAGAGAAUUGUACCUGAAUGUGGAAAGUAAACUAAGAAACAAAUCCUGAUACAGUUAUGAGCAAAAUCAGGAAAAGAUAGCGGAGCUAAGCUUAAAGCCAGCUAAACAACGAGAUGUAUUCGGACAAAAAAAAACCCCGACACAGUCGAGGACGCGAGCCGAAAACCACAAACUACCGAGAAAAAAGGUAUUUUCAAAAAACAAUAGCUUCUGCAGCUUCGACAACCUGCCCAAAACUGAUCCGCACAAAUAAUCCAAACAUGAGCAAACCCAAACCACCCGACAAAAGAUAUCUUCGAUAGUAUUGAUGGUAUGAGAGUGAACCACCGAUCGACGAUACAUAUCGUAGAGAUGAGCCGAAGAUACUAUCUCCAGUCCAGCUCACUGUGACCAUGUACAUUCAUUGAACAGAACUCACAUAUAGAAAGAGAGAACCGAACUUGUUGUUUUGUUGAUGGAUGGACACUGAUUGGUGUCGUUUAACUCUAUUUUUUUUAUUUAGAAAAACUUGUAAAAGAACUGAGAUGGUGAACUUGUUAUAUUUCUUGAGUGCUCAUAUUCACUCUGGUUUGUAGUCUUUACCAAAAAUAAUUAGCAUUUUUAAGAAAAAUUCUAACGGCCAAUAAAGUAUCUACAGUCGUUAUGUUACUUUUAGAUAUUUCGUAUUUGUAGUGUGAAAUAAAUCUUGAACCCUAUAGGCUAUCUUUUUUUUUUGAAACACACUUAUAUUAAUGAACUCAAACAAAGGUUGGUGCAGCCAUUAAAGCUAGUUCAGCAGACAGAACCUGCUUUGCUAACAAAUCUGUAUCUAUAUUUUUCGAUCUAGAGAUCCAAACAAAGGAAAUACAUUCAAAGGAUAAAGCUACAUCUUGAAUAUCCGCCAAGAUCCCAUAGAGACCAGCAAGGGACAUUUUCUCGUUGAUGGCUUUAACGAGUUCAGCGCAGUUAGAUUCGCACUUGAUUCACAUCAGUCCGAGUUCCCUGCACUUCCAGAUUGCUUCCCGAAGCGCAAGUGCUUCAGCUGCCAGCGGCGUGCGCAUGUAAUGGGCCAAGCACGAGAAGGAUGAAGCUCUGUUCUGUGCUUUUACUAUCCACCCUAGCCCUGCAAUAUUAGAACUUUCAUUCCAGGCAGCAUCUGAUUUGAUUACAACACAAUUAGAUGGUGUCCUAGUUGGCGGUGAAAGCCCAUGUGUUGUCGCAGGAGCUUUUGCUUGGCAAGCUCCCCAUUCUCUAGCAAGCGUAAUUGCUUUGGAGAACGUUUCUUGUGCUGAGAGGGGUCUGUCGUUGAAGACCAAAUUAUUUCUUGCUGUCCAUAUGCUCCACAGAAUCCAGGGUGCUAGCUGUCCUGCCGUAACUCCGGUUGGUGGUAAGUUCUUCCUUGAGAUCAAGCUACACCAUAAGUUUCUCAAACCUAUAGAAUCAUUGUACUCAACGCUUGGAAAAACAGGGGCCGAUGA
rnacentral:lncRNA from 1 species